UAUUCUCAUAGUUUCUACAGAUUGUACAUAAAAAAUGUUUGCUAAAAGUAUUAUUUUAUUAUUGAUUGAUUGACUAUGACUUUUCAAAUCCCCCCGCAGUGCUAUUUGCAGAGUUAGCUCCAGGUAAAUGUUGCAAUUCUUCAGCCAUUCCUGGACUUCUUUAAAAGUAGCAUCAUACUGCAGCACACCUUGCGGGCUGCUACAGCAUUCUGUGGCACAUUAUUUAAUUGGCAGCCAUUUUUUCUGUUAAUGCAAGUUAGUGCUAAUUUGACCACCAGAGGGCAUCUUUGAGAAUAAUUUGAUAGUCUUCCAUAUUGGCAUUACCAGAGAAUUUAAAAACGUUUUUGUAAUAACAUAGUAUAUGGGAUUAAUUUUAAGAAAUUUGGCUUAAUUCAUUUGAUAAAUAUUAUGGUGUUUCUAUUCCGAGAAAAAUGUUUCGUUAGGAUGGAAUGUAAAAUAUGGUGCUGUACAAUGUGAGGGUUGAGAGUAGGCUACAGCAUAAGAGGAUUGGAGGAUUCUAAAUUGUUUGCCUUCAUUAGACAACAUUGUUCCAAUAUUUCCGUGAUAUUUAUUCCCAUAGUAAUUCGUUAUCGAUCCAUAAAUAAAUCAACAUCUGCAUUUUGAAAGACUAUUUUUAUUAUUAUUUUAUUAACGAAAGCAUAAAGAUGCUGAUGAAGAAAUACAGUACUGUACAGUAUAUGCUUUUACAUAUGGAAAAUAAAGCUUUUAGAAGAUAUAAGCCACCUGCAUUUGUUUAUAAGGCUACAGUGCAGUCUGACAAGUAAACAUAGCCUACAAUAGAUACCGUAGUAAACAUGGGAAAGUACCUAAUUCCUUACAUAAGGGAGAGCAGACCAUGCCUGUAGUACAUAAUGCAGGCACACGGGAGACUGGGGUUCAAUUCCCUGAUGGGACGGAAGAAGUUGGCUGUCCUUGUAAAUAAGAAUUUGUUCUUAACAGAUUCCAUAUGUGUUAUUUCAUAAUUGUGAUGUCUUCACUAUGAUUCUACAAUGUAGAAUAAUAAAGAAAAAUCCUGGAAUGAGUAGGUGUGUCCAAACUUUUGACUGGUAGUUAAUAUUAAUUAUGGUGUUUCUAUUCCAAGAAAAAUGAAAAACUCGCUGGGUUUCCGUUAGGAUGGAACGGAAAAUAUGGCACUGUACAAAGUGACCGUCGGGAGUAGGCUACAGUACUUGGCUAUUUAGCUAAAGAAUCUCUGUUUCAUGCGGGCACACGGUAGACCGUGGUUAAAUUACCCGACAGGGAGGAAAGAGUAAGCUGUACUUGUAAAUAAGAUUUUAUUCUUAACUAACUUGCCUAGUCAAAUAACUGACUUGCCUUGAGGUUACACUAAGAGCAUAGCAUUUCUGCACCCUAAUUUUCAAAUUUUUGUCUAACCAAUACCCAAACAGAGAUUAAGUGAAAAUAAAAAUCUCAUUGAUUUAUCAAGACAAGUUAUCAUGCUGUUCUCAGAGCAGCACAAAACAGUGAUAAAAUAGUUGUAGGUCUGGUCAGAUGAGACAAAAAUUUAGCUAUUUGGCCAUCAAGGAAAACGCUAUGUCUGGCGCAAACCCAACACCUCUCAUCACCCUGAGAACGCCAUACCCACAGUGAAGCAUGGUGGUGUCAGCAUCAUGCUGUGGAGAUGUGUUUUGUCGACAGGGACUGGGAAACUGGUCAGAAUUUAAGGAAUGAUGGAUGGUGCUAAAUACAGGGAAAUUCUUGAGGGAAACCUGUUUCAGUGUUCCAGAGAUUUGAGACUAGGAUAGAGGUUCACCUUCCAGCAAGACAAUGACCCUUAGCAUACUGCUAAAGCAACACUCAAGUGGUUUAAGGGGAAACAUUUAAAUGUCUUGGAAUGGCCUAGUCAAAGCCCAGACCUCCAUCCAUUUGAGAAUAGGUGGUAUGACUUAAAGAUUGCUGUACACCAGCAGAACCCAUCCAACUUGAAGGAGCUGUAGCAGUUUUGCCUUGAAGAAUGGGCAAAAAUCCCAGUGGCUAGAUGUGCCAAGCUUAUAGAGACAUACCCCAAGAGACUUGCAACUGUAAUUGCUGCAAAAGGUGGCUCUACAAAGUAUUGACUUUGGGGGGGUGAAUAGUUGUGCUCUCUCAAGUUUUCAGUUUUUUUGUCUUAUUUCUUGUUUGUUUCACAAUAAACAAUAUUUUGCUUCUUCAAAGUGGUAGGCAUGUUGUGUAAAUCAAAUGAUACAAACCCCCCAAAAAUCUAUUUUAAUUCCAGGGUUGUAAGGCAGCAAUAUAGGAAAAAUGCAAAGGGGGUGAAUACUUUCGCAAGCCACUGUAUGUCAGAGAGGUGUUUCUGGGACCACAUCGUUUCUCUCAAGACAAUGACCCAAAAACACACUGCCACCCGGGUUUGCAUUGCAAAUGAGGGCAUAAACUGGGUCAAGACGCCAGCAGAGUCUCCUGAUUUAAACCCGAUCUAACUUGUUUGGCAUCAACUGAAAACAUUCAUCCGUAGCUCUGCCAAGCAAAGAUGAACUGGUCAAGGCCAUCAAGAUGUUUUGGCUAGAUGAAUUGAUGAAACAACAAUGCAACAAAUACAUUGAUCAUCUCAGCAAGGUUUUACCUGUGGUCGUGGAGCUGGGUGGAAGUGCGACUAAAAUGUAGUUUAAAUAAACAUCAGCAUUUUAAUGUAUUUUUCUCGUUAUUUUAUUAGCAAAAGCAUAAAGAUGUUGGUGAAGAAAUAUUGUACUGCUGUUUUGAGUUAGAAAUGUAACACUUUAGACGUCUUAAGCAUCGAACACAUUGCAAGUUGGGUGAUUUUCACUCCAGUAGCCGGGCUAUAAAAAGUCUAUUGUCCUGCUAAUAGGAAACUUUUGCAUGAUGGGCUACACCUGCUACAGUACUACAGUACACUUGUGAAAACAAAUGUUUGAAAACCUGUUUUGAAAAUCCCUCCAGUUGUCCAUCACUAACGUAAAUAAAAACACAGCAUCUUUUUUACAUUCUUUAUUGUACCCACAAUGUCACAAAUCAUUUGUAUCUACCUUUCCAAUGACUUUUAGAGUUAGGGAUUUACAAAUGUGAGCUUUUCAUUAUUAGUUACAUUGUUUAAGUUUGAACGUGCAGACUUUUUUUCUUUAAUGAUGGGGGCGCUGUUGAGACUAUUUAUGCUAAUUGGGUAAUUUUUGAAACGGCUUCCCACAAAAUCCUUGAUCGUACAAUAUGCAUAUUAUUAUUAUUAUUGGAUAGAAAACAGUCUAUAGUUUCUAUAGGAGUUGAAAUUUUGUCUCUAAGUGGAACAGAGCCCAUUCUACAGCAAUUUCCCUGACAUGGAGUCAGAUUUCAGAAAUGUUGGCCACUGUUCUGAAGUCAGUUAAAAGGGCACUGUUAUUGCUAUGACUAUACGGACACUUCUUACGUCUUCCCCUGGAUGCCUUUACGUGAUGACGAUUCCAAUGGGGUCGAUUGCGCGUUCACAGGCCCUAUAAAUUAAAAAACCCUGU